CGGGGAUCACACUUGGCCAUCAUAGAUGAUGGCUCGAAUGCACUGUUGGUGAUUUCACCAACUGAUAGCUGCUCAUGGUGAGCCUUCUCGGCUGAAAUUACAGGAGCAUAAGAUGAAAGCAUAAAAUGAAUCCUGGGGUAUGGCACAAGGUUGGUCUGGAAUUCAUUGACAUCAACAUUCAAGGCUCCAUCAAACCUCAGGGAAGCAGUCAGUGAUGAUAUCACCUAAAUAAAACAACAGAACGUUAAUUAAAGGGCAUAUUAUACAGCUCAACACAAGCACUAGUUAUUUCUAAUUUCUAAUUCAGACAAUAACAAUACCUGAGAAACUAAACGAUUAAGGUUGGUGUAGGUUGGCCUCUCAAUGUCCAGUGAACGCCUGCAGAUGUCAUAAAUGGCUUCAUUGUCGAGCAGGACAGCCACAUCAGUGUGCUCAAGAAGAGAAUGAGUGGAGAGGACACUGUUGUAAGGCUCAACAACAGAGGUCGAAACUUGGGGUGAAGGAUAGACAGUGAAACCAAGCUUGGACUUCUUGCCAUAGUCCACUGAAAGGCGUUCCAGCAAAAGGGAACCAAGUCCAGAGCCAGUUCCCCCACCCACAGCAUUGAAAACCAGAAAACCUUGGAGACCUGUGCAGUUGUCAGCAAGCUUUCUGAUGCGGUCCAAGCAAAGCUCAACAAUCUCCUUUCCAACUGAAUCAAAAACAACCUUCUUAGUAUGAUAUUCAAUUCAACACAGUAAAAUUGCAAAUGCAGUUAUAUUCGAAGCAAUGAAAGGAGAGGAGCAGCAUUACUGGUAUAGUGGCCACGGGCAAAGUUGUUUGCUGCAUCCUCCUUUCCACUAAUGAGCUGCUCAGGAUGGAAUAGUUGGCGGUAUGUCCCAGUCCUAACCUCAUCAAUCACAGUGGGCUCAAGAUCUACAAAAAUCGCGCGGGGCACGUGCUUUCCUGCCCC
rnacentral:lncRNA from 1 species